GUGCCAGCCGCCGCGGUAAUACGGAGGAUGCAAGCGUUAUCCGGAUUUAUUGGGCGUAAAGCGUCCGCAGGUGGUUUUACAAGUCUGCUGUUAAAGCGCGAGGCUUAACCUCGUACAGGCAGUGGAAACUGUGAGACUAGAGUGUGGUAGGGGUAGCGGGAAUUCCCAGUGUAGCGGUGAAAUGCGUAGAUAUUGGGAAGAACACCAGCGGCGAAAGCGCGCUACUGGGCCAUCACUGACACUCAUGGACGAAAGCUAGGGGAGCGAAAGGGAUUAGAUACCCCUGUAGUCCUAGCUGUAAACGAUGGAUACUAGGUGUUGCCCGUAUCGACCCGGGCAGUGCCGUAGCUAACGCGUUAAGUAUCCCGCCUGGGGAGUAUGCACGCAAGUGUGAAACUCAAAGGAAUUGACGGGGGCCCGCACAAGCGGUGGAGUAUGUGGUUUAAUUCGAUGCAACGCGAAGAACCUUACCAGGGCUUGACAUGUCGCGAAUCCCGGUGAAAGUCGGGAGUGCCUUCGGGAGCGCGAACACAGGUGGUGCAUGGCUGUCGUCAGCUCGUGUCGUGAGAUGUUGGGUUAAGUCCCGCAACGAGCGCAACCCUCGUUUUUAGUUGCCAGCAUUUAGUUGGGCACUCUAGAGAGACUGCCGGUGACAAACCGGAGGAAGGUGGGGAUGACGUCAAGUCAGCAUGCCCCUUACGUCCUGGGCUACACACGUACUACAAUGCUUCGGACAAAGGGUUGCGAGCUAGCGAUAGCAAGCUAAUCCUAUAAACCGAGGCUCAGUUCAGAUUGCAGGCUGCAACUCGCCUGCAUGAAGGAGGAAUCGCUAGUAAUCCCAGGUCAGCAUACUGGGGUGAAUACGUUCCCGGGCCUUGUACACACCGCCCGUCACACCAUGGGAGUUGGCCACGCCCGAAGUCGUUACUCCAACCGCUUGCGGAGGAGGAUGCCGAAGGCAGGGCUGAUGACUGGGGUGAAGUCGUAACAAGGUAACC
rnacentral:rRNA from 1 species